GACGAACGCUGGCGGCGUGCCUAAUACAUGCAAGUCGAGCGAAGUUUUUCUGGUGCUUGCACCGGAAAAACUUAGCGGCGAACGGGUGAGUAACACGUAAAGAACCUGCCUCAUAGACUGGGACAACUAUUGGAAACGAUAGCUAAUACCGGAUAAUAGCAUUAACUGCAUGGUUGAUGUUUAAAAGUUGGCUUUGCUAACACUAUGAGAUGGCUUUGCGGUGCAUUAGCUAGUUGGUGGGGUAAAGGCCUACCAAGGCGACGAUGCAUAGCCGACCUGAGAGGGUGAUCGGCCACACUGGGACUGAGACACGGCCCAGACUCCUACGGGAGGCAGCAGUAGGGAAUCUUCCGCAAUGGGCGAAAGCCUGACGGAGCAACGCCGCGUGAGUGAAGAAGGAUUUCGGUUCGUAAAGCUCUGUUGUUAGGGAAGAAUGAUUGUGUAGUAACUAUACACAGUAGAGACGGUACCUAACCAGAAAGCCACGGCUAACUACGUG
rnacentral:rRNA from 1 species